UUUUUAAUGUCAGUGAUGUUGGCCCACACUUUGUUUUGUUUUUAAUCAAAAAAUGUAUUCAAUUAUUAAAAAUAAUGUUUAUAGUACAAUAAAACCAACCAGAACCCACCACUAUAAUACACGUCAAACAAAUAUACUAAA